rnacentral:rRNA from 1 species
GUCCAUGCCGUAAACGAUGAUUACUAGGUGUUGGAGGAUUGACCCCUUCAGUGCCGCAGUUAACACAAUAAGUAAUCCACCUGGGGAGUACGACCGCAAGGUUGAAACUCAAAGGAAUUGACGGGGGCCCGCACAAGCAGUGGAGUAUGUGGUUUAAUUCGACGCAACGCGAAGAACCUUACCAAGUCUUGACAUCCUGCGACGAUGCUAGAAAUAGUAUUUCCUUCGGGACGCAGAGACAGGUGGUGCAUGGUUGUCGU